GCUGCGUCACGGAAAAACAUGAAGAAUGUGUGAGAUGAGACGCACUUGCCUGUUAAUCGACGGUGCAAACGAGCGGCUAAUAUAUUAUCGCUUUUAUAGGAUGUUAUCGUUACCGCGCACACUUGGUGUGGAUAAAGUUCGUAUACUGUUGGAAUUAUUCACGAUUUGAAAAAUGAGUUUUGAUAAGAUAUACGAUGAUGAUGGUCUCGAGUGGUUAGCGCUGUAAUUUGGGUCGAAAGCCUUCCUCAAUCGGACAAGGACGGGGAAAUCAAGGUUCCAGCUUUUCUCAAUCUCUCAGCCAGGAAACGCUGCAGUCUCGAAUAACAUCACUCAUACAUUGUGAUAAAAGUUAUCCAUUCCAUUAGGAGAAAAAAAGAUCUAAUAAAUCCAGUAUACCGCGUGGGAUUAAUCCAAUGAAUGCUCAUCGGAACCUUUAUGCAUACGUCUAGAUUUUCUCUAUGCGCUUUUAUUUAGCUUCCUCGUGAGAUUUUUCUGAGCGUUACACGUAUCUAAGUCUUAGGAAUCUUUUGUUUGUGCGAUACCGUUGUCUUGCGCGUAUCAUCGUGAGCAAAGACGACGAAGACGGCGAGAAGGAGAAGGAGGAUCGCGAGUCUAAAUUGCUGUUAACUUGGUCCACGGCCGAAUCGUUUGAGCGGAGUUAUGGGCGCAAUUGCGAGCGAGUCGCGACUGUAUAAUCGUACACUAGCAGCAGCGGGGCAAAGUCAAUGCUGGACGAUUUCUGAGCGAAGAGGAUCAGUUAGACCCAGAGGAGAUUUCAACGAGUCCUGUGCUGUAUACUGUCGCUUCUUUGCCGAAGAAGCGACGCGACACGAGAUCAUUGAGAGAUAUCAGACUGAGUUAAGCGUGAUUUAUGGCACUUUGUGCGUUUCAUGACUGCUGAUGCUUGAUUCAAAGUUUUGCAACUAUUCGGUUAUACGCCUAUUGCGUAGGAACAUACUUUUAUACAAUCGCUAAAUUUAUCUGAUGUUACAAUUAUUUUCAUAAGUUAUCAUCGUAGUCAUUGAUAAAAUGUUAUCCAUCGCUUUGCGGGUAAUAUUUUUUUGUUAUUUCUGCAAAGGACUUGUCAAUUAGAUAAUUAUUAUAACAGAGAAAAGAAGAUAUUCAAAUAUCCUUUGCUUUACAAGAAUCAUUCACGCGCACGCGUUUGUAACAGUAACGUUUUGUAGCUGUCGGCCAAUUGAAGUCGUUUAUUUAAAGCCCACAAGCGGAAACUGGUUUGAUGGACCGAACAAUAUACAUGAGCUGACGCGAAAAAAUGUUUGUCGUUCUCAUGAACACAGCAGCAAUCUCUGUGCUCUGACGUCAAUCCAUAAAUCGGUUUGUAAUAGUGUAAGAGUCGUUGGGCGUUGUGCCAGUGUAAGCUUAUUUUUUGAUUUGCUAUAUGAAAAACCACGGUGAUCAGCGUGAAACUACUGAUUAGAUUACCGACCGAAAAGGUACACGAGCGAGUGCGAUUUUCUCUCUCCCUCCUCCAGUGCACAGAAAGUAAAAGAGAAGCGAACGCGACGCAGUCGCGAUGGCCUUGACGAAGCGUAAAGUCAUCACGUGAGAGAGGAGAGAGAAAAUGGUCAAUAAAGCUUUUCCGAAGUGGAAGAAAACGAGCUUUUUCUUCCCUCUUAGAUUGGUAUGGGCUGUGGUUGGAAAAUCGUCGUAGUGGUUACCGAUAACGACUGGUAGGAUGGACGUUCAUAAACUAGGGGCUUUUAUGUUGAUUAAAAAUACAAUAAUUACAACCUCAACAUUUUAAGUAGACAUAUAACUGUUGUAUUGUGUGAAAAUAAUGGAAACGCUUAUUGAUUCAUUAUUUUUCUCUUUGAACAAUUAGCGACAGUUAAUGAGAUAUUCAAUACCUCAAUUUCAAUAGACUAUACAGAUAUUUGGCCCAAAAAAGAAAUAGAACCCACUCGAAUAGAAAUAUCCGUAUAGUAGUGCAUAAGAAAAAGAGAAAGUUCAUCGCAAAAUAGUUCGAAAAAAGCGCGCCAUCGGCAAAGCGCGUAAACAUGGCUGACGACAGUACAUAAUAUAUAGCCUAUCAUAUAUCGGGUUGGCUGUUACGUAAUUGUCUCCAUGUUUGCGCGCACGUAAAGCUCCCCUACUUCUAUCCGUCUGUGUACGUAUGUAGGUGUAUGUAUUAUUUAUGACCUCGAAAGCUACACUGCAUUUCUUGCAAUAAAACUGCAAGGAAACCAUAACAAAUAUGAAGAAGAAUUGAAGAGCUUUUUUGUUGAAGUUUCAGACAUUUUAUUGCUAUGGGAAAAAGAGGAAAGACUUCAUUGAAGAAACGAAAGCUUGAUUAAAAUUUAUGCGAGUGAUAUGGACACGCGUUUCCGCGUGUGCCUAAUGUAAAAGAGCUGCGAGAAUUUUAACUCUAUUAAAGUGAAAGUCAGCGAGAUACGUUGUGCGUCAAAAUUACUGAUAAAUAUGCAGUGUUACAUAUGUACACAUGUGUAAAGCACAUGGUGCUUGAAAAUCAUGUUGUAGAAAAUAUUGCAAAUUAAAUGAUUUUUCCCACUGA
rnacentral:lncRNA from 1 species